ACGGGUGUAGCUCAAUUGGCAGAGCAGCGGUCUCCAAAACCGCAGGUUGGGAGUUCGAGUCUCUCCACCCGUGCAA
rnacentral:tRNA from 3 species